UGAUUAAAAGGGGAAAGUUCAGUUUAGGGUUUAAAACCCUAAUCCUGAUUAAAAGGGAAAAGUUCAGUUUAGGGUUUAAAGCCCUAAUGCUGACUAAAGGGAAAAAGUUCAGUUUAGGGUUUAAAACCCUAAUGCUGACUAAAGGGAAAAGUUCAGUUUAGGGUUUAAAACCCUAAUACUGACUAAAGGAAAAAGUUCAGUUUAGGGUUUAAAACCCUAAUGCUGACUAAACGGAAAAAGUUCAGUUUAGGGUUUAAAACCCUAAUGCUGACUAAAGGAAAGAGUUUAGUUUAGGGUUUAAAACCCUAAUGCUGACUAAAGGAAAAAGUUCAGUUUAGGGUUUAAAACCCUAAUGCUGACUAAAAGAAAAAGUUCACUUUAGGGUUUAAAACCCUAAUACUAACU
rnacentral:lncRNA from 1 species